rnacentral:tRNA from 1 species
ACUACUAUGGCGGAAUAGGUAGACGCGCAGGACUUAAAAUCCUGUUGUCAGCAAUGACAGUGUGGGUUCGAUUCCCACUGGUAGUACAA